AACUCAAAGGAAUUGACGGGGGCCCGCACAAGCGGUGGAGCAUGUGGUUCAAUUCGACGCAACGCGAAGAACCUUACCUGGGCUAGACAACGGUGGACCGUCCUAGAAAUAGGAUUUUCCCUUCGGGGACUGCCGGUUCAGGUGCUGCAUGGCUGUCGUCAGCUCGUGCCGUGAGGUGUUGGGUUAAGUCCCGCAACGAGCGCAACCCUUGUCCUUAGUUGCCACCAUUCAGUUGGGCACUCUAGGGAGACUGCCGGCGUUAAGCCGGAGGAAGGUGGGGACGACGUCAAGUCAUCAUGGCCCUUAUGUCCAGGGCCACACACGUGCUACAAUGGGCGGUACAAAGGGUCGCAAACCCGCGAGGGGGAGCCAAUCCCAAAAAGCCGCUCUCAGUUCGGAUUGGAGUCUGCAACUCGACUCCAUGAAGUUGGAAUCGCUAGUAAUCGCGGAUCAGCACGCCGCGGUGAAUACGUUCCCGGGCCUUGUACACACCGCCCGUC
rnacentral:rRNA from 1 species